UGUUAUAGACGCAAUUCUUCUGUUUUGUUCCCCAGGACAAGCCGAGAACGAGAAGCAACCAUACGGGACAUGGUCUAGGCAUUAACACUUCAUGGUUGCACUUUUGUUUUCAUACUUAACGAUGCAAGAAUUUCAUCAUGCCAAAGAGGAAAUGACAAGGAAAAAAUGUCGCUAUAAUACUGAAGAAGAAAAUUCGCUCUAAUAAGCCGAGUUAGUGGAGGAGAGAGAAAGAGAGUUGCAUAGGAAGGAGUGCUCCAUCUCGCCUGGCACAGUGCCCCAGGCUACGAUCUAUGGUUAGAUUAUGGAAAUGGGUUUCACUAUGACUCAUGGUGAGUCAUAUCUGCAUCUCCCUCUUGCAAAUCAGGAAGGGAGCAAUCUUAAAGGAUCACGGUCAAGUAAAGAUGAUACACGAUAUUGCAGUGGUAAAGAUUAACAUAACAACCAUGGAUCGACAACAGGAACAAUUGAGGGAACUAGUUAAUGAACUUGAAAGUGUCAUAGAUAGUAACAAAAAUGGUACCAACACAGGUUUGUUAAUGAAACUCAGAAAUGAUAGCCAGGUUCUACCUAAGAGAAUUAGAAAGCGUUGACUCCUUCCAUUUGUAGGUACAGCAUUAAACACUUUGGUGUGGCCACUGUGUUGAUUAAUAAACUGAAGAACUAUGUUAACAUUGUAACUCAAAAUAUUACAACAGAAAUAAAUUAAUUACAUAGGUCUAAACUUGUGAACCAGUUAAUGUUUGAAACAGUCAUUUUUGUUAAAUUAUACAGAAAUAAAUGAAUUACAUAAGUCUAAACUUGUGAACCAGUUAAUGUUUGAAACAGUCAUUUUUGUUAAAUUAUAAAGAACUUCUGAAUGCCAUUAUAUCAACAAAGAACAUUUUAUCACCAUACCUUAUCAGUCCUAGUGAGUUAAACCUCAUUAUAGUUUAAUAACAGUUAAGAUGGUUUCUGAUCACAUUGUUUUAGUUAUACCAUUUAAUAAUAAUGAGGUUAAUAACUUGAUAUCAGUUUACCCUUUCCCAGUGUUAGUAAAUAACAAGUCAAUUGUUUUGAACCAGGACAUGAUACAUUUUGCAUUGCAACAGAAUUCCCUCCUUUUAGUACAACUACGUAACAAAGAUUUUGAUGAUUGUAUCAUGCUUGAAGCCAACGAGUUUGUUUGUAAUAUUCAGAGUUUUUAUGAGCCACUUAACAAGUUGUAUUGCAUAGAUGAUUUAAUUAAUGACAGAAAUAGUGAGAAUAACUGUGAGUAUGUCCAUUACAAUCAUGAUUUCAAGGCCCAAAUACUGUAUGAGUUAGUAGUGUUUUCACAAAAUCAAGUAACAGCUAAAGUCACUUGCAAAAAUAAUCAAUCACAAAUGUUUAAUAGCAUCAAAUCAUUUGUUUCAUCUUGUCAAGUAGUUAUUUUGAAUUAUUUAUACUACAAACCUACCAAUUUUGCUACCUAUACAUUGAAUUUAUCCAGCCACAUAAAUCAUUUUGAAAAUGUUAAGAAUUUCAAAUUGGAGUUAGAAUCAUUCACCAAACUUGAAGAAGUUAACCAUUUUUCCCAUGUAUACAAGACUGAGAUUUCACCCAUCAUGUCAGUGGUUAAUGUUGUUUUGUUAGUAGUCACCAUGCUAGCUUUCAUAUGUGUUGUCAGAGUUUUAGUUAUUAACAAGCUCAACACUGUUAAGACUUUAAUUAACAAUUUGACUUCAGGUAACUGAUGCUCUAACAUUUGUUGUACAUAUUGCCGUUUGUGAUUACUUUAGAUAUUGUAUUUUUUUUUAUGUAUAAGUACCUUGUGGUAACCUUUGCUAAGCUUCAGCAUUGAGGCCAAUACCGGUAGGUGGCCGAGUGAUUAUGUUGAGCAGAAGUCUGGUAAGAUUAGUUAUGUAGGAAAUAUAUUAGCAAGGAAACUCUACUGGUAGAGUUUUCAGUAGAUGAAGGCAAAAGAGAAACCCAAACCAGGAUGUUUGCAAUAUGACACUCGUAAAACGCUGAAAAGGAACUGAGUGAGACACAACAAAAAUCGAUGAUGCAAACUGUUAGACGUAAACUUUGACCCGAGAGCAAUGAAUAACAAGUGGGUGGAACUAGCUUACGACUGCUCACAGCAUACACCCUGAUUUGUUAGAUGUCGUCGCCGGAAGUGGUAGGCGUUAAAGAUUACCCAAUUAUGAAGAAUUAGGGUGGUCUUAACAGGAAUCCAGAAGAAGAAGAGGCGGAGCAAGAUAUAAGAAAUUGGAACGAUGGAAAGAAUCGGUUAACUACUCACUUCUGGGCGCAUAACUUGUGUCGGUUUAAACUCCAUUUAUCCUGUGUCAUUCAGAGUUGUGUGAUAGGAAAGUGAG